GCGGGGGUUGCCAAGCCAGGUCAAAGGCGCAGGGCUUAGGACCCUGUCCCGUAGGGGUUCGUGGGUUCAAAUCCCACCCCCCGCACCA
rnacentral:tRNA from 1 species